UUCUGCCCACCCGAGGGCAGAAACCUGCAGGGGGAUCCUUCGCGUUUGUAAACACCCGCACACCCUACACGCUCCCAAAGGUAAGAGCCAAGGGUGGGGAGUCUGAGACAGCCUUGGGCCGCUUUCCAGCAAGUCCCCGAAGCCCCCGGGGGCAGGGGGCGAUGUCACCGGGACCCUGCUCCGGGAAAGGGCUGUUUGGGGGCUUGAGAUCCAUGGAAGCCUCUGAGUCUUUGGGGACCAAGGUAUUGGGGUGCACGAAGGAGAACCUGUCUGCCUUCCUGCCCAUGCUGCCUGGCGGGCUGGGGGCCAUGUCCAGGCCCUCCUGCUCAGGGCCUGAUGACCCUGUACACCCCUUCCCCAGCCUCGCCAAGGUCUUCCAGUCUGCGGAGGGGCGAGCCUGUCUCACUCCAGCGCCUCGGCCAGGGGCUUUAUUUGUGACUUAAGCCAUCCCUGACGUGGACACGCUCAGAUCCCGUCUCCCCACCCUCCCUGGAGACCCGCCUCAGCAGUGUUCUUGCCGAGGCCGUGGGGGGGCGCUGCGCCCAGGGCUGUCGGGGGAGGUGGGUCGCAUGCCGGCCAUCCGGGUCUGACUCAGCACGUGUGCAGCGCACCUCCCUCGGCGUCCUGCCCGGAGCACACCUGUUCCUGUGCCUGUGUGGGCAUCGGCCCAGCCGGCCUCCAGCGCCAUCCUCGGGCCAUCAGGGGCCCCUCAGCCAGCAGGCUCACCCCUUCUCCUUCACUCUGGUGAAAUACACCGAGCACCAAGCCUCCCGUCUUGCCUGUUUCAAGUGUGCAGGGAUGUUCACCCUGUGCAGCGGUCACCCCCAUCGGCCCAGAACUUGCUCUUCCCAAACAGAAUCACUGGACACACUCUGCAGCCCCACUCCCUGCAGCGGGAUGCUCGUGUGUGUCGUGUCUGACUCUUUGCCACCCCAUGAACUGCAGCCUGCCAGGCUCCUCUGUCCGUGGGGUUCUCCAGGAGUGUUCAGAAGUGCCCGUCCUGAUUCUCACUGCUCAUCUUCCAGACCCCAUCUCUUCUGCACCUGCUCCUCUGACCACACCAUCUGUACCGGGCUCUGCUGGGGCACAGCUGGACGUGUGAACAGUCUCCUCCGUGGGGACUCGAGGGGCGCUUGGACUCGGGCGGGCUGUGAGCCUGCACCUUUUCAGGCCAUGCGGAUGGGGCCCGUGGGCAGCCGCGUCCGUGCUCAGGCCAGCACGGCUGCCGCCAGGGUUUCCUCGGCGCCCUCACCAGGGCGGCUCACCGCUCUCUUCACAACCCCCGCCGCGUCUGCAGUCUCUUCCCCACGUUGUGGGGGCGCAGAGCGGGAGGGGGUGUGCCAAGAGGCACAAUAGCGCUGCCUUCCUCCCUCCCCUGUUCUUCGCUAGACCAAUUUGUCUGCCAGAAACCACAGGGCUGAGUGUUACGGAGCAAACGCGUCCCCCUGAUUCCGUGUUGAGACCCCAAGCCCAGGGUGGUGCCGUCAGGAGGGCCCCUGGGAGGCGACAGGCUGUGAGGGUGAGGCCUCGUCGUUGGGCUUAGUGCCCCUGACUCGGCUCCCCGCUCAGGAGGCCCUGGCAAGGAAGCAGCUGGCAUCCGCCCCACAGCCCCCGGCCUGGCGUCCCCACAGCAAGACAGAUGGGACCCUGAUCGGGUGCCGGCAGCAUCUCCAGCAGGUGCCGAGGUGCCGGCCUCUCCCAGAGCUUGGUCGCUGAGGAUCGGGAGCGGCUACUCGGGCCUGCGGCUCACACCGCUCACCUGGCCCAGCCCCAGGACCUGCUGAGUCCCUGGCGUGGACCCUGAGGGUGGCCAGUCCAGCUCCGCUUCCCGAAUCUCACAGCGGGUGCAGCCCCACCCGUCCUCUGCCGCGGUCAGCGGGAGUGUCCGAGGCCCAUCGCCUUUGGCCGUUUAUCUGCGUGAGCGCCUCUGUGCAUCUCGGGUGGUUUCUCUGCUCCUCGGGGGUCUCAUCUGUUUCCUUCACCUUCGGGACACCUGCGGGCACUCCCUCUUCCUCUGUAUUCUGGGUUUUGGGUGCUGACCUAAUCCUGGGAGGACCCUGCUGGCCUGCCGAAGGCCCCUUCGUGAAGACCUCAGGGGUCACUGUCCCUUCAUGUUCGUGAGGAGGUGCUCAUCUGACUUCACUUUGCUCACUGUUUCUAAGGACAGCACCAAGCAAAAGCCUUCUGAGGUGACAGAAACGUUCUAGAACAUCCAGCCCGGCCACCACCAGCCUCACGUGGCCUGUGCGACUGGGACACCGAAUUAUCCAACUUAACUUCAUGUGCUCAGAGCUCCACGUUCAGCCUCACAUGAAACUCUUGUUUCAGUGCCGUUGAUUCCAGCUUCCUAGCUUCAGAACCUGUUUCAUCAAAGACCAGGGCCUGGAGUUAGACCUUCAUCAAGGUUCCCUCCAGGGUCACCCGGGGUCCCUUUCGGAGUCCCUCAGACUGACGGGGGACCCACCCCCUCAUCACUCUCGUUCUGUCUUGGGGGGACCGCUGCAAGGCCGCAGGGCCUGGCUGUGGGUGACGCCUUCUAGUCUGUCUGUCCAUCUGAGGGCCUCACCAUGCGCCCCCGCCUGGCCCAGCCCUUCCAACCAGAGGUCUUCACGAGGCCGGAGGGCGGCGGGGCCCCCACCUGCCAAGGAGACGCCGUGGGGGUCCCCAGACACGGGACUCACUUCUGAGCUGCUAACUGGAGCAGGGACGGUGAGAGGAGGGGGGAGGCGGGNNNNNNNNNNNNNNNNNNNNNNNNCCCGCCGCCUGUCCACUUGGCUUGCCCUGCUGCCGCCUCUGUGGGUGGGACAGAGGGGCCGGCGCGGGACUGGGGCCCCCGGCACAGCAGCAGGAAGCUCUCCGACAUGACCCCCUAGGAAGGAAGGGGCCUGGGGAAGGCGCCCACCCAGCUGACAGGGAGGCCCAGACAGACGUGAGGCAGUCCUCAGGGGCAGCCCAUUCCCUGGCUCCACACCUGCAGCCCGGGAACUGACGGCGCCCCCAGACCACCGCCCUGCCUGGGUGGGACGUGGCCACUGCGCCCCGAGGCACGACCUCUGUUCUCCCCACUGGAGGCACAGAUUCGCCCUCUUGGCUCCCACGAGGGGGGCGAGGGGCGUGGUGGCCAAAGCCCUGACGGAGCCCCUCGGGGCACAGGAGAGCCGGGGCCAGGGCCAGUGCCCGAGCCACACGGGACCUCCCGGCCUCGGGGGGCGUGGGCAGGGGAGGGGGCCUCACUCGCCGGCACUAGUCAUGGCCUGUUGGUGAUGGUGAGGGCCCGCGGGUCCAAGAAUUCAGACAGCUGGGCUGCUGUGGGGAGUUGACUGGGCGAGGGCUGAGUCACAGCCUCAGGGCCCUGGAGUGUAGACGGCUGCAGAUCACGGGCGGCCAGCCCCCGCUCGCCCCACCAGCCCCUGCCGGUGCAGUGGGAGGUCGGCUGCCACCUGGGCUUGGGGGCCAGUGGCCCAGAGCCACUGCCACACCCGCACCCGGUCACCUGGACCCCGAGGAGGCGUAAGGAAGCCGAGGCCCCACGGGGCGACAGCUGUCUCGGAGCAGCCCGGGGUAGACGGAGGGGAGGGGAGACCCCAGGGGACAAGAGCCAGGUGAGGAGAGUCUACACACACGCGCUGGAGGGAGGGGCCGUCUGACCCGAGAGGAGAGGUCGGGGUGGGGCCGGGAAGGGUGUCCGUAAGAGAUGGGUCCCCUAAGAGAAGGGGUCACCCAGCAGACCUGGGGUGGGGUUGUGGCAGAUGGUGCCCUGUGGGGCCAAAGGCCAGUGGACUGGCGCGGAAAGAUCAGAAAUGAAGAGGUGCUGAAGCGGUUUUGAAAGGCGCGGUGCAUGUUAAUGCCCGACAUUACUCAGUGCAGUGAUUCCCCGCUCCAGCACUCCUGCCUGGAGAGUCCCAUGGAAGGAGGGGCCUGGUGGGCUGCAGUCCAUGGGGUCGCUAAGAGUCAGACACGNNNNNNNNNNNNNNNNNNNNNNNNNNNNNNNNNNNNNNNNNNNNNNNNNNNNNNNNAAAUGGCAACCCACUCCAGUGUUCUUGCCUGGACGGGGGAGCCUGGUGGGUUGCCGUCUAUGGAGUCACACAGAGUCAGAGAGGACUGAAGCAACUUAAGAGCAGCAGCAGAAACAGCAGGAUAUUAUAAUUUUUGUCAUUUGCAGAAUGAUCACUUUAUCAUCAAUCUCAAUUCCCAGUAAAGAGUAUAUUUAG
rnacentral:lncRNA from 1 species